rnacentral:lncRNA from 1 species
GAGGGUUUUAAGAUUCUUGUACCUUGUGGAACUAAAAUUCUUAAAGAAGUAAGGAAAUCAAGGAAAUUUGGGGCUAUGAUAAAGUCCUAGUUAACUCUCAAUUGCUUCUUUCAACUAUAAUAAAUCCUUCUUUAUUUAUGUGAGAUCUCUUAGGAAAAGAGCCUCUAUCUUAGUAUAUUAUAUGUUACUCAAUUUUAUUGCAUUUAGGAUCCUUAUUGCUUUUUUUUUUGUGCUAAUUUUUAAUAGAUUUUAAUUAAAGUGCUUCAAGUCUAUAUAGGUAAUUUUUGAC